UACGUAGGGGCGAGCGUUGUCCGGAUUUAUUGGGCGUAAAGAGCUCGUAGGCGGCUUGGCAAGUCGGGUGUGAAACCUCCAGGCUCAACCUGGAGACGCCACUCGAUACUGCUAUGGCUAGAGUCCGGUAGGGGACCACGGAAUUCCUGGUGUAGCGGUGAAAUGCGCAGAUAUCAGGAAGAACACCCGUGGCUAAGGCGGCUCUCUAGUACGGUACUGACGCUGAGACGCGAAAGCGUGGGGAGCGAACAGG
rnacentral:rRNA from 1 species